rnacentral:rRNA from 1 species
ACAUGCAAGUCGCACGAUCGGGGGUAACUCCGGUAGGUGCGGACGGUGAGUAACGCGUAGGUAUCUGUCCAUGGUGGGGAUAACAGUGGGAAACUGCUGCUAAUACCGCAUGAUGACCGAGGUCCAAAAGGCGCAAAGUCGCCUGUGGAGGAGCCUGCGUACGAUUAGCUUGUUGGUGGGGUAACUGCCUACCAAGGCGACGAAUCGUUAGCUGGUCUGAGAGGAUGAUCAGCCACACUGGGACUGAGACACGGCCCAGAUUCC